UACGGAGGGGGCAAGCGUUAUUCGGAAUUAUUGGGCGUAAAGCGCACGUAGGCGGCUUGACAAGUCAAGGGUGAAAUCCCUCGGCUCAACCGAGGAACUGCCUUUGAAACUGUCUCGCUUGAGGCCGGGAGGGGGUAGCGGAAUUCCCAGUGUAGCGGUGAAAUGCGUAGAUAUUGGGAGGAACACCGGUGGCGAAGGCGGCUACCUGGACCGGUUCUGACGCUGAGGUGCGAAAGCGUGGGGAGCAAACAGG
rnacentral:misc_RNA from 1 species